UUCUUUUGCUUUGUGUUUUCUCCACAGUUUCAUGUUUUCUUGUUAAUUUUGUGUUUUUAUAUCUGAAAUAUUUUUGUCAGCAACAUUAUUUUAUGUUUCAUAAAAAGUUUCAGUUGCAGCUUCUGCACUUUUCUAACUUCUUGAAUGUUUUCUCUGUUGAUGCUCAGACGUGACAGCAGUGAUCAUCACUGCAGCUGUAAUUGUUGCAGCAUGCAUUCUAGUUGUUGUGAUGUUGAUGGGAUGGAGGAGGAUUAAAGAAAGAAAAACACAGAUUGAGACAAACAUGACUCCUCCAGAAGAUGCUGAUUCCUACGCCUCCAUCAGCUUCUCCAGGAACACCAACAACAGACGGCAGGUUCUGGACAAAGACGAUGGAGGAGAUGCAGUGAUCUACAGCACUGUUAAAGUGUCUUCUUCUGAUCAUGAUCCCAUCAGCCUCCAUUAAACCAACAGAUGAGAGUCACAGCAAAUGUUCACCUGAGGAUUUAUGUUAGAAUCCUGCAUUCAGAUCUUGAAAAUCAUGUUUUAAAAGAAGCUUCAGGACUUUCACUUCACAUCUUUUAACUUUAAGAGUGAUAAAUAUAAAUGAAAUAAACUUUAGUAAAGUGUCUGUCCCACUUUAGCCUCUAUUAUCAAAAUCAU